rnacentral:tRNA from 1 species
GCCGAAAUAGCUCAGUUGGAGAGUGUUAGACUGAAGAUCUAAAGGUCCCUGGUUCAAUCCGUGUUUCGGCA